rnacentral:rRNA from 1 species
UACGUAGGGCGCAAGCGUUGUCCGGAAUUAUUGGGCGUAAAGAGCUCGUAGGCGGUCAGCACAAGUCAGUUGUGAAAUCUCCGGGCUUAACUCGGAAAGGUCAACUGAUACUGUGCGACUAGAGUGCGGAAGGGGCAACUGGAAUUCUCGGUGUAGCGGUGAAAUGCGUAGAUAUCGAGAGGAACACCUGCGGCGAAGGCGGGUUGCUGGGCCGACACUGACGCUGAUGCGCGAAAGCCAGGGGAGCGAACGGG